rnacentral:sRNA from 1 species
GCAGAGAAGUACAGAAGCUGACUCUUGGAGAAGAUUCCCUGACCGAAAAGGCACCACGCUCAUCCAGACCCGAGGGUUCUAGGAAAUGUCCCAGGCUGGACCAGAACAAUCCAGGAAUAGCUUGGAGCAGGGAUCCAGGCUUGGUUAUGAGGGCUCAGACUGCGAUGAGAAUCCAGGGUUCAGGCUGAGGUGGGGAUUAGAACUUGUCCAAUAGCAGAGACGGAGGCUCAGCUUGAGAGGGAGACGUGAGGUAAGCCUGAGGUGGUUAUCUUGGCUCUGGUUUAGGUAAAAAUGAAGGCUCAUCCUGAGGUGGUCACUUGCCCUUGUCCUGACAUGGAGACUCAUAUCCAAAACAGGACAGAGAUAUAGAUUCAGCUUGCAAGAUGGACAUAGCCUUAAUUUGAGGUAGGAGUUUGGGUUCAAGCAAGGUAUCCAAGGUCAGUUUGAGGUGACGCCUAGCCAUAAGCUGUGGCAGAGCCUCAGGUUCAGGAUGGGAAGAAACUCAAGGUCUGCUUAGGGUAGGAACCAGCAUUUGCCAAGGAAGAAAUCAAGAGUUCAGCCUGCACAGGAGAUCCAAACUUGAGCUAUACAGCCCUUCAGGAGAUCAGUGGUCACCGAGUGCCCCACAGUCAAGCCCCGAGACCUGCAGGGAAGUGGCUAAGCUCUGCCUCGUGACAGUGAGGUGUUAGUAAGAAGUAUUAAGCAACACCUUUUUUAUCAGGGUUGGCCUACUGCCUGUUCUCAAAAUAGCCGCCUGCUAUGUUUCGGGGCUGAUCUGGGGAGCAGCCAGCCGUGUACUUACACUGAAGGGUCAGCUAGGAAGAGGUGAUGGGGCAGGGUCUGCUUACCUGAGGUAGGAGAUGACGCCCAUGGCCCUGCAAGAAUGAAAACACCACGUUUGUGAGUCACACCAGGCCUGUCCCACAGGCAAGGGGUACGCAUGUGGGGGUUGGAGAAGCCUGGGGCUGGAAGAGGAGGCAGAGGCUCAGAGGCUCCUCAGCUGCCAGGCAGACACACAUGGAGGACAGAGAGGUUCCAGAUCAACAGCCCUCCUGGUGGGCCAUCCACUCACCAGAUGUCUGAGCCCUCACUCACAGGACUCUGCUCGAUGAUCUCUGGGGACACGAAUUCAGGUGUAGACACCGGCAUCGUGUGGAGUCACGUCCAUCAACACCAAGGAAUAUGUAGUUCCACCUUGCUGCUGCCUCAGCCGGGUACCGUUCACCAGCUGGUUGCUGUCCUGGACAAACAGGGCUACCAUCAGCCUAUCCUGGGAUGUGCCAGCCCCCGACUCACACACGCUUCCUGGAGCAGCACUUCCAAUACCUGCUGUGUGCCCAGCCCCAGGGGCAGGCCAGAAGUGGGAUAGGAAGGUACUGAAUUGGGCUGCAGGGGGGGCUUUGGAGUGGGGGGUUGCAGGUUGCAUGAUGGGGUGCAUGAGCCCCAUUCCACACGUCCACUUAAUCUCACCCAUGCCCUCCAGCUCCUGAAGCCUGUCCCCUCCCCCUGCUGCCUGGGCCUACUCCUCCUACCUUGUACCAGGUCACUGUUGGCGGUGGGUUGCCUUCAAUGACAGCAUCAAACUGUGCCAUGUCACCCACUUGUACUUGUAGGUCCUCGAUAGUGACCUGCAUGGAUGGGGCCCCUGGGAGAGGUGGGAAGAGAGCCUGUGUGGAGGGACCCUCGGGAAUUCAUAGCCCUGGGUGCACAGCCCACUUAGGUGUACAUCUGUGGUCAGUAAAGCCUUGACUUAUGUCCCUUCA